GACGAACGCUGGCGGCGUGCUUAACACAUGCAAGUCGAACGGAAAGGCCUUUUCGGAGGUACUCGAGUGGCGAACGGGUGAGUAACACGUGGGUGAUCUGCCCUGCACUCUGGGAUAAGCCUGGGAAACUGGGUCUAAUACCGGAUAGGACCGCACUUUAGUGUGUGUGGUGGAAAGUUUUUUCGGUGUAGGAUGAGCCCGCGGCCUAUCAGCUUGUUGGUGGGGUAAUGGCCUACCAAGGCGGCGACGGGUAGCCGGACUGAGAGGUUGGUCGGCCACAUUGGGACUGAGAUACGGCCCAGACUCCUACGGGAGGCAGCAGUGGGGAAUAUUGCACAAUGGGCGCAAGCCUGAUGCAGCGACGCCGCGUGGGGGAUGACGGCCUCCGGGUUGUAAACUCCUUUCGCCAGGGACGAAGCGUUUUGUGACGGUACCUGGAGAAGAAGCACCGGCUAACUACGUG
rnacentral:rRNA from 1 species